CAAAAGCUCCCAAAGCCCAAGAAAGUGCGAGAAUAAAAAGAAAAAAAAUGAUGAAUUGAGAGAAAGAAAGAAAAAAAUAAAAAGAGAAAAAUUUAUAACUCAAAGAUUAAAAAAGAAGCACGAAAAAGGGCAUUCGGUGAAGAAAAAAAUAAGAAAAGAAAACCGAGCAAAUAAAAGAAACAAACACAGUAUAUAACAUCGACUCUGAACCAAAAGCCC
rnacentral:lncRNA from 1 species